rnacentral:lncRNA from 10 species
CUCACCGGACGCCGCGCGCCACCGGCCCUCCGCGGGGCAGGGGCUGCUGCGAGCUCGCCGGGCGCCCUUUAGACUCCAUUGGUGAAAGAAAAUUCAUGUGAAAGUUCUCAGAGUCGUCCUUGUCUACUCCACUACCAAAUGUUGAAGUUCUUCAAGAAUCAGUCCUUUGGAGGCAUUUAAGGAAAUCUGUUUCUCUUUUGGAUCACUAGCUGCAAAUUAAGCUAACAGAACAGGAGCUCAGCUGGUCACACACAGCAACGAAUACAGACUUUAUAAAGUUCAGAAAAGUUACCAAACAGUGGUAACCAUAACAAGUACCAACAAUGAACUAUGGGGAGGGAGGAGAAUCUGAUUUCCAGAGUUACCACAUUAUAAUACUAUUCAAAAUGUCACAUUUUUAGCAAAGAUUACAUGACAAGGAAAAACCAGAAAAGUAUGGCCCAUACACAGGUAAAAAAAGAAAUUAAUAGAAACUACCCCUGAAGAAGCACAGACUUCGGAUGUACAAAACAAAGACUUUUCAUCAACUCUUUUAGAUAUGCUAGAAGAGCUAAAGGAAACCAUGGACAGAGAACAAAAAAAUUAGGAAAGCAAUGUCUCAUCCAAUACAGAAUAUCAAUAAAGAGAUUGAAAUUGUAGAAAAGAACCAAAUAGAAAUUCUGGAGUUGAAAAGUAUUAUAACUAAAACUGAAAAUUCACUAGAGGUAUUCAGCAGCAGACUGGAGAAGUCAGAAGAAAGAAUCAACAGGCUUCAAGAUAGGUCAAUUAAGAUUAUACAGUCUGAGGAGCAGAAAGGAAAAAGAAUGAAGAAAAAUGAACAGAGCAUAAAAGACCUCUGGGACUCUAUCAAGCAUACCAGUAUAUGCAUGAGGGGAGUCCCAGAAGGAGAAGAAAGAGAGAAAGGGACAUAAUAUUUGAAGAAAUAAUGGUAGAAAAUGUCCCAGCUUUGAUGAAAUACAUGAAUCUAGAUAUUCAAGAGGCUCAAAGAACCCUAAAUAGGGUAAACUCAAAAAGACCCACACCGGAAUGCAAAAGUGAGCUGGGUGUGGUGGCACGUGCCUGUGGUCCCAGCUACUCGAGAGGCUAAGGCAGGAAAAUCGCUUGAACCCAGGAGGCAGAGAUUGCGGUGAGCCGGGAUUGCGCCAGUGCACUCCAGCUGGGCGACAGAGCGAGAUUCCAUCUCGAAAAAAAAAAAAAAAAAAAAAAAAAACUAUUGCUGCAGUCAUUCAGAUGGAAAUGGGGAAAGAAUAAUAUUAACUGAUUUCAAAAAGGACUUGAAGAUGUGAAUCAUCUAUUUUGCUGAAGAAAUCUUAACUCUUUGAAAUUACUUUUUGUUGCUGUUGUCAUACUCUUAGGUGCCAAACUGCGGUAAAUUUUUUAUCAGUGAAGUGGAAGCAUGUGUUUUGUUGUUUUGGGAAUUUUUAUCAAGUAUCUUCAGAGAAGAUUAUUUCCUGCUUUAUCUUCAAAAACUGGAAAGGAAGGGUCAAAGAAAAGACAGUAGCUGGCCGGUCAUGGUGGCUCAUGCCUGUAAUCCCAACACUUUGGGAGGCUGAGGUGGGCAGAUCACCUGAGGUUGGGAGUUCGAGGCCAGCCUGACCAACGUGGAGAAAUGCCAUCUCUACUAAAGAUGCAAGGAUUGGCCGGGCGUGGUGGUGCGUGCCUGUGAUCCCAGCUGCUCAGGAGGCUGAGGCAGGAGAAUCGCUUGGACCUGGGAGGUGGAGGUUGCGGUGAGCUGAGAUCACGCCAUUGCACUCCAGCCUGGGCAACAAGCGAAACUCUGUCUCAAAAAAAAAGAAAAGACAGUAGCUUAUGUUCAUGUCAAGCACCUCUCAUCACAGUCUAGUUCCAAGGAAAAAAUUCCCAGCGUUUUCUACAUUCGGUGCUGCGUCAUCUGAAAUCGGCACAUUCCAUGGAGGAAGGAGUCCUGCUUUGUUGCAUGUAUCCUAGGGUUUAAUGUUGGUAAAUGAGUCACUCUAGCAUUUGUAGAAGGCUCCCUGAGACUCCUGCAGCAGUCGACCAAGCCCAAGGACAUAAUUGAAUCUGGAGAGUCCUGGGGCCUUGUUUUGAAAAAGACUUGAAAUACACAUAGGAAGAAAGGCAUAAAAAUAAAUGUUCACUUGUCUCUGCUGUGAGUAUGUGUUCCAACUUUUCAGUGAUGGAUUUGAGAAUGAGGACCCCUUCGCCAGGAAAACAUGUAUACACUCAA